rnacentral:rRNA from 1 species
GAGUUUGAUCUUGGCUCAGGAUGAACGCUGGCGGCGUGCCUAAUACAUGCAAGUCGAGCGAACAGACGAGGAGCUUGCUCCUCUGACGUUAGCGGCGGACGGGUGAGUAACACGUGGAUAACCUACCUAUAAGACUGGGAUAACUUCGGGAAACCGGAGCUAAUACCGGAUAAUAUAUUGAACCGCAUGGUUCAAUAGUGAAAGACGGUUUUGCUGUCACUUAUAGAUGGAUCCGCGCCGCAUUAGCUAGUUGGUAAAGUAACGGCUUACCAAGGCAACGAUGCGUAGCCGACCUGAGAGGGUGAUCGGCCACACUGGAACUGAGACACGGUCCAGACUCCUACGGGAGGCAGCAGUAGGGAAUCUUCCGCAAUGGGCGAAAGCCUGACGGAGCAACGCCGCGUGAGUGAUGAAGGUCUUCGGAUCGUAAAACUCUGUAUUAGGAAGACAAAUGUGUAAGUAACUAUGCACGUCUUGACGGUACCUAAUCAGAAAGCCACGGCUAACUACGUGCCAG